rfam:TPA: Bos taurus chromosome 13, whole genome shotgun sequence.
UCCCUGGUGGCUCAGAAGUUAAAGUGUCUGUCUGGAAUGCAGGAGACCCGGGUUCGAUCCCUGGAUCGGGAA